CCGCCCCGCCUCGCCUAUCAGUUUGUGCUGUUGGCUUUUCAGUUAUCCUUUAUUCAGAGCUCUGACUUGUCAGGCAGAAACGACACCCUCUAGUUCAGGGGUUCUUGUGUGGCCACACUCCCGCGUGAAGCUGGAAAAGCGUCCUCAGCAGGCCAACUCUUCUCCAGCAUUAUAUUUCAGGAGCAACUUGAGAAACUGCAAAUCGCUUCUGGUGUGAGAAUUGGCUGUCUGCAAGCAUGUUGCCCAGGGGAUGCCUGGAUAUUUUUACCAUCUUUGUGGGAGGCUUCUCUCAUGUCCCCGCAUGGAGCUGGAGCUGAUAGAAGGAGUUCAUCCAUGGUCUCCCUGAGUUGGAUUUGAACUCUGGCAGCCUACAGGUCAGCAACCCAACCUUCAAGUCACAAGGUUUUAAUCCACUAUGCCAUGGGGGGCUCCAACACAUUAUAAAGAGGCAAAACAUUGUAUUGAGGAGACUUGAGAAGGUUGCUAUCUCCAACAUUAUGACCCCACUUGAGCUGCAAUGGCUCAGUGCUAUGGAAUCCUGAGAGCUGUAGUUUUACAAGAUUUUAGCCUUUUCUGCCGAAGACAGUGGGAAGAGACACCAAGGGCCAUCCAGCCAACCCCAUUAUGCCAUGCAGAAAAACAAUCCAAGCACCCCUGACACACGGCCAUCCAGCCUCUGCUUAAAAACCUCCAGAGGAAUCUCCGCCAUGCUCAGAGGAAGCAUAUUCCACUCCCAAACAGUUCUUACUGUGUUAUUCCUAAUGUUUAGGUGGAAUCACUUUUCCAUUAGGAAUUCAUUGCUCUAGUCUCCAGAGGAGCAAAACACAAGCUUGCUGCCUCCUCAAUGUGACAUCCUUUCAAAUAUUUAAACAUGGCUCUCAUGACCCCUUCUCUCAGCCUUCUCCAAGCUAAUCAUCCGCAGCUCCCUCAGCCACUCCUCAUAGGGCUUGGCUUCCAAACCUUUGAUCAUUUUGGGCCGCCCUUUUUUUGCAAAUAGCAUGGUGUCCUCUGCGUGUCACAAAUGUUCCUUUCUCCAACUCUAUGUUCAGUGUACAGGUUUAAAAGAGUGAUAAAAUGUAGCCUUGUAUUUAUUUAUUUACUACAUUUAUAUCCCGCUCUUCUCACCCCGGAGGGGACUCAGAGCGGCUUACAAAUCAAAUGUACAUACAAUAUAUUAUUAGCAUAGCACAAUAUAAGCAUUAAAUUACUAUAUUGUACUAUCAUUAUAUGGUAAUAUUAUUAGUAAUAUUACAUUUAAUAUAUAAUAUAUAAUUAUUAUAUCAUAUUAUUAGUAUAUUGUAUAACAUUAUAUUAUCAAUAUUAUAAUUAUAUACAAUAUAUUAUAUAUUUAUAAAUUAUUGUGUGUGUGUAUAUAUAUAUAUGUAUCUAUAUAUAUAAAAGGGUGAUGGAAUCGCGGCACCGAGCAAAACAACAAAAGUAAAGGCCCCCCAACCUCGAAAUUUGACAACACAACCCAUCAUCCACGCCUUAAGGUUGAAACAACACAAAAUCACUUCACGCACCUCCACAUGGACAGAACCCACAACGCACCAUCGGGAGCCAUGCCGGGAGGGAGGGAAAGAGAAAGCAUAAUGGCAAGAGAGAAGGCAGGCAAUGGGAAAAAGCUGUCCCCUGGGUCCUAGCGCCCGCCCAUCAUCCGAACUGUAAUUAUCAAGGCUUAAAGGUGGACUAAAAUCAAAACAUAACAAGUAGUCUCCACUAUUUAAACAAUUUCUGAAGACUCCAAUUGGAUUUGGCAACCCUUACAGUUUCCUUUAAACAUUACAGUCUGGAAGAUACUACUGUAAAUUACAACAGUUGACUGUACUUAUUAUUUUCAUUAUUGUUUUUAACUCUCAGGUAAUAAUGUUUGCACAUGAUGCUCUAAAUAACAGAAUGCAUUUUAUGUUUUGAAUCUUCAUAGUAUUUACUUAUCUUUUUCACAUAGAAAGAAGAUAGCUCUAUACUCAGAGAGGCCUCACUAUUUCUGUGGCCCUUACAUGUCAUAUCUCUUUUUAUGUUUUGAACCUUUCGAGUGUUUGCUUAUCUCUUCGACAAACUCCUGACAGAUGGCCAGCCAAUAUCUCCACAAUCUCCACAAUAAAAAUAAUAAUAGAAUCCUACAGUCACAGAGAUGGGAGAGACCCCUAAAGGCCAUCCAGUCCAACCCCUUCCUGCCAUGGAGAACACAAUCCAAACAUUCCCAACAGAUGGCCAUACAGCCUCUUGAUAAUAAUAAUACUAAUAACAGUAUCAUGGAAUCCUAAUGUUUGCAGACACCCCUAAGAAUCAUCCAGUACAACCUCCUUCUACCAUGCAAGACCACACAAUCCAAACACUCCUGACAGGUGGCCAUCCAAUAUCUCCACAAUCUCCACCAUAAAAUUUAUAAUAAAAUCCUACAGUCACAGAGAUAGGACAGACCCCAAAAGCCCAUCCAGUCCAACCCCUUCCUGCCAUCGAGAACACAAUCCAAACAUUCCCAACAGAUGGCCAUACAGCCUCUUGAGAAUAAUAAUACUAAUAACAAUAUCAUGGAAUCCUAAUGUUUGCAGACACCCCUAAGAAUCAUCCAGUACAACCUCCUUCUACCAUGCAAGACCACACAAUCCAAACACUCCUGACAGAUGGCCAUCCACCCAAUAUAUAAUAAUAAUGAUGAUAAUAAAGAUAAUAAUCAUGAUGAUAACAGCAACAAUAAUAAUAAUCAUCAUCAUAGAACUAUACCAUCCAAUAAUUUGGAGACACCCCUAACGGCCAUCCACCCCAACCCUUUCUACUAUGCACCAAGACACAAUCUAACCAUUCACAACACUUGGACAACGUAUGCAUACUAUACAAUACUACACAGCGACAAAGACCCCCUCUACUCUCACCACUUUCACAUUACACAAACAACCAAAUACAUACUAAACAUAAAGACAACCUACAACGGACAUUCAAUACUACCACUAACUCAACAAUUUCUCACCAACACCAGACAACGCCACAGCAACGCGUGGCCGGGCACAGCACACACUGUAUGUAUGUAAAAUUAGUAUAGCAUGUUGCUAUGGCACAGGAGACGAGAUGGAACCAUUUUCCUGACUCUCAGAUUGGUAUGUCUUCCUGGCUGCCCGGUUCUUCACUCUGGUCCCAGAGGGGCAGUUAUUCCUUGGUGGGAGGGGCUGCCAACUGAUGGAACAGGAGACAGGAUGGUAUGAACCCGCUUGCCAAUUGAAAACCAUUUAUUUUUCCAUAUUCUGUCCUAAUGAUAGCCUCCUGCCAUAACUAAAGAUUACACAUCACAGCAAUGAAAUGCUUGGGUUUAAGAGCACAUGCAUAAUUGCCUAGAGAACAGUCAGUGUGAAAACAGGCAUCAUUGGACUCCUUCCAGAAUGGCUUGAAAAAUACAAUAUAGACAGGUGACACACCACCAAUCUAUCUAUGGCCAUUUGAGAUUAAACCCUUUGAUGGAGUCAUAAUUGUUUUAUCAAUUGUGAGAAGCUCCAGUUCUAAUACAAGUGAGAUAGUUAACCUGAACGUUAUUUAGGGGUCACUUUUGACUUCUUAGUAACUCUGAAUCUAUCUAAUAAUAAUAAUAAUACUUCUUAUAUCCCGCCCCAUCUCCCCGAAGGGACUCGGGGCAGCUUACAACAGGGACAAACCCGAAACAACAUAGCAAAAACAUGACAUACACAAAAUACAACAGCAAAAUUAAAACAUUUCAACAGUAAACAAAAUAACAUAGUAACAAUACUUAAAAUCUGAGCACAUAAAAUCAGAGUGAAUAAAGGAGGAACGCGGGGACAUGUUCCAUUAAAGUGCUGUAUCAUAUGGAAUAAGGAACGGAGAUAAAGUGCCAUACAAUUCUGUAAACAUAGAAAAAUAGUCUGAUGACAAAUCUGAAGGGCCUGUUCAUUCAAACGCGCUCCGGAACAACCAUGUUUUCAAUUCCCGGCGGAAGAUGGGCAACGAAUUAACCUAGUGAUGUACAUUAUGACAAAAUAGGAUAAGCUUGUAUUAUUACCACUUCUAUUAUUGUUAGAAGCCGGUAUCAUUGAGCUGCUGUACACAGAUUCUCUUGAAUUGUAACUCCCAGCGUUAGCUCUGCUGGAAAUAACAGUUCAACAAUGAUCUUUUUAGACCUCAUAAAUCAAACCACAAUGGAAAGUUCCUCCCCAGAGCUUCUGUUCAUCUCACUUAUCCUCACAGUUCAUAUUCAUUUCACUUUGUACGCCAGCUCGCGUAAGAACUGGGAAUAGUGGGAAAAUGUGUAAUUCUAAGUAAUCUCUGUGUACGAUGUUUGCAUGCGUUGCUGAAAACCACAGUAUGGUAUCUUUGGUGCUGGAUAUUCUCCACACCCUCUAUUGGAAAAUUGAUAUUUCAAACAAUCUGCUAUUUAACUGUACUAUUAAUGAAAAAUCAAUUAAAAAUGAUAAGGAACAUUCUGAAGUAUAAAAAAGGAUUUUAUUAAUGUAUAUGUACAAAUUUACAAAGCCAGAAACAGGAGAAAUAUAAACUGCAUUCAACCAUA